AGGAUUAUAGUUUAUAAAAUAAAACAUUUGAUUUGCAUUCAAAAAAUAUUAAAUUAUUUAAUUUAUCUUA
rnacentral:tRNA from 1 species